UAGCCUGGGACGCAGGCUGGAGAAGAUCUCAUGGGAAGAAUUGCUGGCUGUCAUGUGGAGGGAAAACGAGCAUGGAAAUGAACACCACCAAACUGUGCAAUUGUAAAUAGAUGGAGUUCAAGGCAUUGCUCUAAAGUGGUGUGAUGUCUGUCAGUGGCUGAGUUCAUCCACGAGCUUCAUUUCCAGGAGGUGAGAGGGGAGCCCUUCUGCUCGGAAAGCCUGAGCCAGAUCCACAGGGACAGGCAAAGCCUCACACGUGAGAGUCCCCGGAGCUGGGAGCUUGUGGCCCAGAGCUGUGUGAAAGCAGGUGGGGGGACAGCAUCCGUGGUAGGGCCCACCUGGGCACAGCCAGCAGGAGGACCCUGUCUGGGCGCUGGUGAUGGCAGCUCAAGCUGGAGGCCCCAGAGACGGGCUGCUUGCUUCUGCGGUGGUACCCCCUGGUGCAGACCUCUCUGAGCGGGUGCCCGGAACUGUCUCACUUGGUCGGAUCGCAGCAGGUGCUCACCGUGGACUUGCCGCCAUCACCCUGGUCUCCCAGCUGGAUGCCCGGCAGGGCGCAUGGCACCCUCUCCCCAGCGGGUGAGUUGAGGGAAGUCAUGGCU